rnacentral:rRNA from 1 species
AGUGAACGCUGGCGGUAGGCUUAACACAUGCAAGUCGAACGGCAGCACACUACUAUCUUGCUCUUCCGGGUUGCGAGUCGCGGACGGGAGACGUAUACAUCCUACUCUACUUUUUCGUGGGGCUUCACGUAGGUAAACUUACGCCAAUACCGCAUCCGCUCUUCCGGUGUAAGCAUUGGAUCUUCGGACCUUGCGCGAUUGAAUGCGCCGAUGUCGGACUUGCUAGUUGGCGGGGUAAAGGCCCACCAAGGCGACGAUCCGUAGCUGGUCUGAGAGGAUGAUCAGCCACACUGGAACUGAGACACGGUCCAGACUCCUACGGGAGGCAGCAGUGGGGAAUAUUGGACAAUGGGCGCAAGCCUGAUCCAGCCAUACCGCGUGGGUGAAGAAGGCCUUCGGGUUGUAAAGCCCUUUUGUUGGGAAAGAAAAGCAGCAGGUUAAUACCCCGCUGUUCUGACGGUACCCAAAGAAUAAGCACCGGCUAACUUCGUG